AUACGUAGGGAGCGAGCGUUGUCCGGAAUUACUGGGCGUAAAGGGCGCGUAGGCGGCGCUUCAAGUCGUCUGUCAAAUGGAAGGGCUUAACCCUUUUUCGCAGACGAAACUGGAGAGCUUGAGAAGCAGAGAGGCAAACAGAAUUCCUGGUGUAGCGGUGAAAUGCGUAGAUAUCAGGAAGAAUACCAGUGGCGAAGGCGGUUUGCUGGCUGCAUACUGACGCUGAAGCGCGAAAGCCAGGGGAGCGAACGGGAUUAGAUACCCCGGUAGUCCUGGCAGUAAACGAUGUAUGCUGGGUGUGAGACUAGCGAUAGUUUCGUGCCGAAGUUAACGCGAUAAGCAUACCGCCUGGGGAGUACGGUCGCAAGAUUGAAACUCAAAGGAAUUGGCGGGG
rnacentral:rRNA from 1 species